CUGAGAAUUUGAGAGAAUUCACUCCAAAUUUUACAUAAAAUCUCUAGAAACCAAUUAAACUCCAUAUAAAUCCAUAAAUUUAUAAACAGUCUUGCUCUCCUAAGGUUCUUAUUUUUAGGACUUAUGAUGACCAAAUGUAUAUUAGCCACAAAAUUAUAUUAGUUUAGAUUCAAAAACUUAAAAUAUUUAACAACUUAAUAAAGUAAAACCAACUUAAAAUCCAUAAACUAUUAGAAAACCCAUUUUCUUGUUUUGCUUUAUUAAGUUGUCAAAUAUUUUAAGACUUUGUAUCUAAACUAAUAUAAUUUUGUAGUUAAUAUGCAUUUGGUUAUCAAAAAUCCUGAAGAUGAAAACCUUAGGAGAACAAGAUUGAAUUUCAUAAAUCCGUUAAAUUUUUUCAAAAUUCUAAUUGAACAACACUCAAACUAUAAUUACAAAAAAAAAAAAAAAAAAAAGCCCAUUUAAGAGUAGGCCCAAAUUGAGUAGAAUGAAAUUUGGUUUAAGGGAUAUGGUACAAAAGCACAUUCAAGUUCCAUUUUAGAGGUAAAUAAAGGUCAAAUUUCAGUUAAAUUCCCGGGAAAGAAAAAGAAAAACGGUCAACCGUCAUUCUUCUUCUUCCUCAAACCCUUCACACAAUUCACAGAAGAACAAAAUUAUCACAAGGAGAAGAUCCAUAGUGCUUGCCCCAAGCCUUGUGAGGCUUCCUUGCUCCAUUUCUAUGACCCCAUUUCCCCACACCUUCAUCUCGCCUUGCACUUGCUCUGCAACAAGAUGAUGAGCUUCUGCAAAACGAAGACCGCGCCGUCAAUCUCUUCCAGGUCUCACACUCUCUCUCACUCUCCCUAAAUUCACAAUUUUUUUAUUUUUUGCGUGACUUUUUUUCUAUUGAAUUGAAUGUAGGUCUUAGAAUUGAGAUAGAUUAUGUUAAUUUUGCUAAUUUGAUCUUACCCAUUUGGUAGUUUAUGUGGUUAGUUUAGAAAAGAUAAGAACUUGGAUGGUGAGAGCAGCUUUUUUUCAAGGGAAUUGUUGAUAUUAUGCAGAAACUGGAGCUGGGUCACUGGAAAAUUGUCACCUUUUUCUUUUCUAAUAAUUUUUUGAUCAAUCUGCGGCUCAAAAUUCCUAACUUUUUAGUUCUUUUACACCUCGAAUGCACCUUUUUAACAAUGACACUAUCAUACAAUCAUGCAACCUUAAUUUUUUGUGACCCAUGUGACUUCUGAUGUGAUUAAUUGGGAGUGUUUGAUGGCUAAGUAUUGCUUAAUUUUCUGAAAUCAGUUCAAAAGCCUUACGAAUUUGUUCCCCGGAUCUCUGGGAUUUGCUUGGGGCGGGUCUUGUGGUUGUUUGUGUAUGAGUUUUGUGCUCAGAAGACUUUAUUCAAAAUGGGGAACAAUCAAGUUACAGAUAAACUAGAAAUUCACACUGAUGAACCACCUGUGCAUAAAAUUCAGAUGGUUUCGGAAACCCCUUCCUUCUUAGAGUUGCUCCCAAACAAAUCAAACUCUUAUGGUUUAUAGUCAUUGCUUCUCAAAACCGCUUCCGUGUAACCAAACUCUAUGUUAUGUUUCUAGGUGCAUAUGUUAUUAACGUUACCUCGAUGAAUUGUUAUUUUGUCGUCGUAAGAUUUUCAAAGAACUUAGUAACCUCAUCUCAAUGAACUGGUGAUUUCAAACAUAUGGUUUCUUUUUUCUCAGUCUUCACCAUUUGUAAAGUGUUUUUGCAGGAAACCUCUCCAUCAGUUGUACUCAGGAAGAAAAUACAAUCUACAAACUUGUAUAGGCUUAGUUUUGCUAAGAUUAUUGCACCAAUGACGUAGCAGUUUUUAUAUGCAUCUGCAGCUGUGCCUUAAUUUCGAUGCCGUAAAGACAGAUUUUCUUGUAAACUGUUUACCUUGCGGACGCAAGAGGCAAUGGUUUUCACAGGGAAGGAAAGGUUGUUGGUGUAGAUCCAACCUAUAAUCUAGCUGCUCUGAAGGUGUUUAUUUUCGUUCAUGGACGAUAGAUGAUCAUUGACAGCUUAUGUUUCCGUUUUAUUUUCGGUUGCUUUUGCUUGAAACCGUUGGUGGACUAUGCUCUUGAAGUGUUUUGAUCAAAACUUAGCGUUGUACGUAUUCAUCAUAUUCAGAUGUCUCUGUGAGAAACAAUGUGCAUAACAUUUCACAGAACAUGUCAUAAAUCACAAGACAUUAGCACA